ACCCUAGUUCACAGGAAGGGCACCGGUCUUCUAAACCGGUGGAUGCAGGUUCGAAUCCUGCCGGGGGUG
rnacentral:tRNA from 1 species